GAUGAACGCUGGCGGCGUGCUUAACACAUGCAAGUCGAACGGAAAGGCCUCUGCUUGCAGGGGUACUCGAGUGGCGAACGGGUGAGUAACACGUGGGUGAUCUGCCCUGCACUUCGGGAUAAGCCUGGGAAACUGGGUCUAAUACCGGAUAGGACAAUGGUUUGGAUGCCGUUGUGGAAAGUUUUUCGGUGUGGGAUGAGCUCGCGGCCUAUCAGCUUGUUGGUGGGGUAAUGGCCUACCAAGGCGUCGACGAGUAGCCGGCCUGAGAGGGUGUACGGCCACAUUGGGACUGAGAUACGGCCCAGACUCCUACGGGAGGCAGCAGUGGGGAAUAUUGCACAAUGGGCGCAAGCCUGAUGCAGCGACGCCGCGUGGGGGAUGACGGCCUUCGGGUUGUAAACUCCUUUCGCUAGGGACGAAGCGCAAGUGACGGUACCUGGAGAAGAAGCACCGGCUAACUACGUG
rnacentral:rRNA from 1 species